ACUUAAAUUGAAGAGUUUGAUCAUGGCUCAGAUUGAACGCUGGCGGCAGGCCUAACACAUGCAAGUCGAGCGGUAGCACAGAGAGCUUGCUCUCGGGUGACGAGCGGCGGACGGGUGAGUAAUGUCUGGGAAACUGCCUGAUGGAGGGGGAUAACUACUGGAAACGGUAGCUAAUACCGCAUAACGUCGCAAGACCAAAGUGGGGGACCUUCGGGCCUCAUGCCAUCAGAUGUGCCCAGAUGGGAUUAGCUAGUAGGUGGGGUAAUGGCUCACCUAGGCGACGAUCCCUAGCUGGUCUGAGAGGAUGACCAGCCACACUGGAACUGAGACACGGUCCAGACUCCUACGGGAGGCAGCAGUGGGGAAUAUUGCACAAUGGGCGCAAGCCUGAUGCAGC
rnacentral:rRNA from 1 species